UACAGAGGUGGCAAGCGUUGUUCGGAAUUACUGGGCGUAAAGGGCGCGUAGGCGGCUUGGUCAGUCCCGUGUGAAAUCCCUCGGCUCAACUGAGGAACUGCACGGGAAACUGCCUGGCUUGAGUUCGGGAGAGGGAAGCGGAAUUCCGGGUGUAGCGGUGAAAUGCGUAGAUAUCCGGAGGAACACCGGUGGCGAAGGCGGCUUCCUGGACCGACACUGACGCUGAGGCGCGAAGGCUAGGGGAGCAAACGGG
rnacentral:rRNA from 1 species